rnacentral:rRNA from 1 species
CAAGUCGAACGGCAGCGCGGGGCAACCUGGCGGCGAGUGGCGAACGGGUGAGUAAUAUAUCGGAACGUACCCAAGAGUGGGGGAUAACGUAGCGAAAGUUACGCUAAUACCGCAUACGAUCCAAGGAUGAAAGCAGGGGACCGCAAGGCCUUGUGCUCCUGGAGCGGCCGAUAUCUGAUUAGCUAGUUGGUGGGGUAAAGGCCCACCAAGGCAUCGAUCAGUAGCUGGUCUGAGAGGACGACCAGCCACACUGGAACUGAGACACGGUCCAGACUCCUACGGGAGGCAGCAGUGGGGAAUUUUGGACAAUGGGGGCAACCCUGAUCCAGCAAUGCCGCGUGAGUGAAGAAGGCCUUCGGGUUGUAAAGCUCUUUUGUCAGGGAAGAAAAGGUUACGGCUAAUAUCCGUGACUCAUGACGGUACCUGAAGAAUAAGCACCGGCUAACUACGUGCCAGCAGCCGCGGUAAUACGUAGGGUGCAAGCGUUAAUCGGAAUUACUGGGCGUAAAGCGUGCGCAGGCGGUUUUGUAAGUCUGUUGUGAAAUCCCCGGGCUCAACCUGGGAAUGGCAAUGGAGACUGCAAGGCUAGAGUUUGGCAGAGGGGGGUAGAAUUCCACGUGUAGCAGUGAAAUGCGUAGAUAUGUGGAGGAACACCGAUGGCGAAGGCAGCCCCCUGGGUCAAAACUGACGCUCAUGCACGAAAGCGUGGGGAGCAAACAGGAUUAGAUACCCUGGUAGUCCACGCCCUAAACGAUGUCUACUAGUUGUCGGGUCUUAAUUGACUUGGUAACGCAGCUAACGCGUGAAGUAGACCGCCUGGGGA